rnacentral:rRNA from 1 species
CGGAGGAAAAGAAACUAACAAGGAUUCCCCUAGUAACUGCGAGUGAAGCGGGAAAAGCUCAAAUUUAAAAUCUGGCAGUCUCUGGCUGUCCGAGUUGUAAACUAGAGAAGUGCUAUCCGUGCUGGACCAUGUAUAAGUCUCCUGGAAUGGAGCGUCAUAGAGGGUGAGAAUCCCGUCUUUGACAUGGACUACCAGUGCAUUGUGAUGUGCUCUCAAAGAGUCGAGUUGUUUGGGAAAUGCAGCUCAAAAUGGGUGGUAAUUCCAUCUAAAGCUAAAUAUUGGCGAGAGACCGAUAGCGAACAAGUACCGUGAGGGAAAGAUGAAAAGAACUUUGGAAAGAGAGUUAAACAGUACGUGAAAUUGUUGAAAGGGAAACGCUUGAAGUCAGUCACAUUGGCUGUGGAGAUCAACCUUGCAUUUGUAAGGUGUACUCUCUGGUUGAUGGGUCAGCAUCAAUUUUGACCAUUGGAAAAAGGUUAGGGGAAUGUGGCAUCCUUGGAUGUGUUAUAGCCCUUGAUUGUAUACAGUGGUUGGGAUUGAGGAACUCAGCACGCCCGCAAGGCCGGGUUUCGACCACGUUCGUGCUUAGGAUGCUGGCAUAAUGGCUUUAAUCGACCCGUCUUGAAACACGGACCAAGGAGUCUAACAUGCCUGCGAGUGUUUGGGUGGAAAACCCAUACGCGUAAUGAAAGUGAAAGUUGAGAUCUCUGUCAUGGAGAGCACCGACGCCCGGACCAGACCUUUUGUGACGGAUCCGCGGUAGAGCAUGUAUGUUGGGACCCGAAAGAUGGUGAACUAUGCCUGAAUAGGGCGAAGCCAGAGGAAACUCUGGUGGAGGCUCGUAGCG